UACGGGGGGAGCAAGCGUUGUUCGGAUUUACUGGGCGUAAAGGGCGCGUAGGCGGCCUCCGCAAGUCGACUGUGAAAUCUCCGGGCUUAACCCGGAAAGGUCAGCCGAAACUGCGGGGCUAGAGUGCAGAAGGGGCAACUGGAAUUCUCGGUGUAGCGGUGAAAUGCGCAGAUAUCAGGAGGAACACCGGUGGCGAAGGCGGGUCUCUGGGCCGAUACUGACGCUGAGGAGCGAAAGCGUGGGGAGCGAACAGG
rnacentral:rRNA from 1 species